UACGAAGGGGGCCAGCGUUGCUCGGAAUUACUGGGCGUAAAGGGCGCGUAGGUGGACAACUUAGUCAGAGGUGAAAGCCCAGGGCUCAACCUUGGAAUUGCCUUUGAUACUGGUUGUCUUGAGUUCGGGAGAGGUGAGUGGAAUGCCGAGUGUAGAGGUGAAAUGCGCAGAUAUCGGGAAGAACACCUAUGGCGAAGGCAGCUCUCUGGGACGGUACUGACGCUGAGACGCGAAAGCGUGGGGAGCAAACAGG
rnacentral:rRNA from 1 species